AUUUAAGUAGUUUAUUAAAAAUAUUGAUUUGUGGUGUCAAUGAUAUGAACUUUAUUCAUCUUAGAUC
rnacentral:tRNA from 1 species